CCCCCCCACUCCCCCCUAUUCUCCCCACCGCAAGUCUUAUUUCUAUUUUUCUGUUCUUUUUCGCUCAAAGCCCCUACCUCUCCAACAAUGAAAGUAUGAAACCCUAGCGCCUUCCACCGGUUGCAAUGCUCUCCUUGACAGUCGGUGAUUUAGCUGGCGACAAUACGAAGGCUCUCUACAGUCACCGACGAAACAAGACUCUGGAAACUCUGUUGCUUUCUCUUUUUCUGCCCAAACUCUCCUGUUUCUUUUCUCUUCACGAAGGGCCCAAACCCUCUUUUCUCUUCUUGUCAGGAUCCAGCCUUUCAUCUCUCCAAUGGGGAUUAAUCUCAUCAGCAAGAAUAGACACAACGACUUGAUUUCAGUGACCAAACACAGAGUACUCCCACCGACAACCAUUGUUGGUAGGCUAUUAUCACCGAUGACCAUGACCGGUUCCAAGUAUCUUUUUUUUUUCUUCCAAAUUGGUCCAAAUGAAUGUAGUGUUUUCUAGUUUGAAUUGGAGCAUACAGAGACCAGCUCUAGUGAACAAUACUUCCUAUUUCUUGAUUGAGAUCGGCAACUUCUCUUUAUUUUUAUACAAAGACCAGCAACUUUAAAAUUUGUUGUCUA